UUUUACAAUGGAGAGUUUGAUCCUGGCUCAGGAUGAACGCUAGCUACAGGCUUAACACAUGCAAGUCGAGGGGAAACGAUAUUGGAAGCUUGCUUCCGAUAGGCGUCGACCGG
rnacentral:rRNA from 1 species